CCCUUAGAUGUUCUGGGCCGCACACGCGCUACACUGAAGGAGGCAGCGUGUACUCCUGGAUCGAAAGAUUUGGGUAACCCGCGAAUCUCCUUCGUGCUAGGGAUUGAGGUUUGCAAUUAUCCUUCAUGAACGAGGAAUUCCCAGUAAGUGCAAGUCAUAAGCUUGCGCUGACUACGUCCCUGCCCUUUGUACACACCGCCCGUCGCUACUACCGAUUGAAUGAUUUAGUGAGGACUUCGGACUGGGACCGAUGCGGCUUUCGGGCUGCGUCGGUGUUCUGGAAAGAUGUCCAAACUGUAUCAUUUAGAGGAAGUAAAAGUCGUANCA
rnacentral:rRNA from 1 species